UUCUUUCCCUAAAAUAAAAAAUAUAUAAAGAUGUUUAUUUAUAAGGCGUGCCAUUAUUAUCCUUUUGUUUAAAUGAAUGAAAACAUUUACAGCACUUAGGAGGAAUGACCAAAUUCUUUAACCCCACAUGAGCCAGCCUGGCAUCUUUUAAUACGGAGCCUAGGAUGGUCAACGGGAGUCAUUCCCAAAACUGAUGAUUUAGGGUUAUUUCAGUAGAUCUUGAUGAAUCAAGCUUGGCACUACUUCUAAAACGAAAAAACAACAACUAAUAUUAAUAAAAAUAUUACGUUAUGAAAUCUAUAUGGAUUAUAACUAUGGUAG